rnacentral:rRNA from 1 species
CCUACGGGAGGCAGCAGUGAGGAAUAUUGGUCAAUGGUCGGGAGACUGAACCAGCCAAGCCGCGUGAGGGAUGAUGGUACAGAGUAUCGUAAACCUCUUUUGUCAGGGAACAAAGGCGGGGACGCGUCCCCGGAUGAGUGUACCUGAAGAAAAAGCAUCGGCUAACUCCGUGCCAGCAGCCGCGGUAAUACGGAGGAUGCGAGCGUUAUCCGGAUUUAUUGGGUUUAAAGGGUGCGCAGGCGGUCUGUUAAGUCAGCGGUAAAAGCCCGGGGCUCAACCCCGGCCCGCCGUUGAAACUGGCAGUCUCGAGUUGGAGAGAAGUAUGCGGAAUGCGCGGUGUAGCGGUGAAAUGCAGAGAUAUCGCGCAGAACUCCGAGUGCGAAGGCAGCAUGCCGGCUCCACACUGACGCUGAGGCACGAAAGCGUGGGUAUCGAACAGGAUUAGAUACCCUUGUAGUC